CUUCUUACCUUAAUGCCCUGUGUCAGAGCUGCCCACCCGGAGUUAGAGGUUUACUGCUCCCCUUACUUUCCAUUUGGGGAUCUUAAGUGUUUCAUCAGACGUGGAGUAUAGUAAGGAGACUCGGAGAAGAAGCUGGUACAAUUCAAAAGCAAGUGAACUAUUUCUCAAUAAGACUUGGAAUUCCAACUUCUGGUUAACUGUAAAUAUGAUUUGGAGGAAGAAGUAGCACAUCAGGGAGCUAAGUUCCUAGAUGGAGACUCCUUGAUCACCAGGAAGAUGGGCCAAGUGCUGGCCUAAGCAGGAGCAUGGCUGAGUUGAGAUGAGAUGAAAAGGAAGAGUCAGCUGAGGAGCUUCCUUGAGAAGGGAAAGGCAUGGGAGAAGACGAGUUUUGUCCUGAUUCUCACUUUUAAAUGUAGUCAUGUGAUGGCACAAUAC